rnacentral:rRNA from 1 species
GACGAACGCUGGCGGCGUGCUUAACACAUGCAAGUCGAGCGGUAAGGCCCUUUUGGGGGUACACGAGCGGCGAACGGGUGAGUAACACGUGGGUGACCUGCCCUCAGCUCUGGGAUAAGCCUGGGAAACUGGGUCUAAUACUGGAUAUGACCUUUCCUCGCAUGGGGUUGGGUGAAAGUUUUUCGGCUGGGGAUGGCCCGCGGCCUAUCAGCUUGUUGGUGGGGUGAUGGCCUACCAAGGCGACGACGGGUAGCCGGCCUGAGAGGGCGACCGGCCACACUGGGACUGAGACACGGCCCAGACUCCUACGGGAGGCAGCAGUGGGGAAGUAUUGCGCAAUGGGGCGGAAGCCUGACGCAGCGACCGCCGCGU